rnacentral:lncRNA from 1 species
AUUAAUACCCCCUUAUCGCCUCCAACACGGUCGUGUCCCUGGCCAUGUUGGGGACACGGGCUGGUGUUCCUGGCCGUGUUACUCUCUGUGGCCAUGCUCCCUAAAAGCUUCUUUUUCUUUCAUGUUUGAUGCAUCCAACACGGCCGUGUUGGUGGCCGUGUUGGUAACACGGCCAUGUUAACCUUCCGUAUGGGCAUACUUAGCUCGUUUCGGCAGCUUUGACGUCCA